ensembl:lncRNA
AGGCCAGGGACAGGUUGCCCAGCCUUCCGCUGCUUCAGCAGUACUGAGGGCCAGGUAGUUAGGUACUCAGCAGUAACACUGAUAAGGGUCCUUGUCCUUAGGAAGGGAGUCAGACAGUAAACAAAAGCAUAUGAUCACAGAGUAACUUAUGUAGUGCAUCAGAAUGGUUGGUUACUGUUAAAUUAGAUAGUCAGGGUAGGCCUCAUUGAGAAAGUGACAGUUGAGUGAAGAUUUGAAGAAGGGGAGCCGGAGAGCCAUACCAGGGUCUGGAAGAGCACGUCCUCACACUGAGGGAACAGCCAGGGUAAAGCUCCAAGGUGAGGGAAAGGGAGUGUGUGCAAGGACCAGCAGGAGGCCAAAGUGACUGGAGGAGAGGGAGGAUCGAGUAUGGGCAGUGGGGCGCAUAGUGGAAAAGGAGAUCCCCGAGGUGAGCAGGACCACCUGAUGUAGGACCCACAGGCCAUUGUAGGGACUGAGGCCUCUCCUCUGAAACGGGGGUGUGUGGGUCCAGGGGAGCCAGUGGAGAGCCCUGUGUAGAAGAUUAACUUGCAUUUCAGGAGAAUCGCUGGCCAGUGUGUUGAUAGCCUGUCCGACCUGAAGCAGAGGUCUAAUUUUUUUGUUUUGUUUUGUUUUUAGGGCUGCACCCACGGCAUAUGGAAGUUCCCAGGCUAGGGGUUGAAUUGGAGCUGUGGCUGCCAGCAUACAGAACAGCCACAGCAAUGCCAGAUCCAAGCCGCAUCUGCGACCUUCAAACAGUGUCUGCAACCUAACCACAGCUCAUGGCAACAGGGGUUCCUUAACCCACUGAGCAAGGCCAGGGAUCAAACCCACGACCUCGUGGAUACUAGUUGGGUUCGUUACCACUGAGCCACAGUGGGAUCUCCAAAUUGGUGCUGUUUAUAAGGAAUUAGAGGGGGUGUGAGAGAAAGAGGCAUGAAGGAUGACACUUGGCUUUUGGCCCUAGUGACAGGAAGAGUAAAGUCGUGACCCGAAAUGGAGAGGGGUUGGGAAAGAGGUCAGGCACGUGGCAGUUGGACGUCCGAGUGGAGGUUUAGAGUCCAGAGUUUGGGAGGGCACUCUCCAGUUUCCCAGCCUCCCCUCAGAUCCCACCCCUGCCAGCAGUAUACCCUUCAUCCACCCAGGAGGGGGCUGAAGCCUCUACUCACUGCAAGGCUAGAGAAGCAAAGUCCGCUUCUCUUGCUUUCUGAGUUUCCCCCCUGCCCAUCUGUGGCCUACAUGAAAUGGGCACACACGGUGGUUCAGAGCUUGGGCAUGUCCCCAUGCCAGAUGCUGGCUCAGUGCCAGGAUGUGCAGAGAUGCAUGGUCACCAUCCUGCCCUCAAGGAGCUUCUGGCUCUGUGCUCACACAGUCACUGCGGCAGCCAGAGGAUGGGUGCCUUUCCUGAGAAGAGACAGUGCAGUGAAAGCAGCCCUUUCGUGACUUGGAACACGGUUUCUUAAAUAUGUUUAGUUCUGCCCUUGAGGCAUUUCUUCAAUGAUGAAACCCAAGUGUUGGAGCCAUCAGAGGAAUUUUUUUUUUUUUUUUUUUUUUUUUUUUUUUUUUUUUGUCUAUUAUGGCUGCACCCAAGGCCUAUGGAGGUUCCCAAGCCAGGGGUCGAAUCUGAGCUGUAGCUGCCAGCCUACAGCACAGCCACAGCAACAUGGGUUCCAAGCCAUGCCUACAACCUACACCACAGCUCAUGGCAAUGCUGGAUCCUUAACCCACCAAGUGAGGCCAGGGAUCGAACCUUCAUCCUCAUGGAUGCUAGUCAGGUUCGUUAAUUGCUGAGCUGUGACGGGAACUCCCAUCAGAGGACUUUUUAAGCAGGGGGCAUGUUUCAUAGUCAUGUCCUGAGAUUCUUAGGGGCCCCUGUGGGUAUAUUUUGUGGUUCCCCCAAAAGCAGCCUGCCCCUUCGUCUCUUAGACUUCAAUGUAAAACUAAAACCUAUCACUGGAGAGAACAUUUAGGUCAGAGAAAUUCCAGAUGAAGGGGUGGGGAAGGCAGAUUUGUUGUUUGGGAGGUAGGUAAGAAGUGCCCCUUAUGGUAGAGCCAGCCAGUAGUCGUGACUGGGCUGGGGGCUUGAAAGGAGUGGCUUCAAAAGCAGAGUGGUUCUUCCACUGGGGAAUACAAAGGUCAGGAAGCUGAGAACUGCAGACUUUCACGCUGUGUUUACCAUGCAUGAGGCAGAGUUCUUAUAGGUGGCAGCUCUAAGACAUAACUGUAGCCGCCUAUAAGGUGAGUAGUUAUCAUUCCCAUUUUACCGAUGGAGCACAGACAGAUUAAGUCACUUGCCAAUCAGCUACUGAGUGGUAGAGCCAGGAUUUGAAGCCAAGAAAGAAGGGGAGGGAGUUCCAGAGGCUGUGCUCUUAACCCUUUCAAGUGAGGAGAAUGAUAAACCCCACUGCCAUCCUCACCCACCCCGUGCCUCCCAUCCUAGAGUGUCCUGAAUAUCAGGGGACACAUAUGACAUCUCACUUCUCUGGGGUCAGCCAUCUGACUACCCCUCCCCCACCUAGGGUAGAUUCCUACAGUAGAGUUGACCCGUUAGCUUCAUUCAGACAGGAUUUUAACAAGUGGUGCAUUCAGGCCUCCCCACCCAGGACCAAGACAGAAGGUGGGUACCAGGUAAGGGCCAGGCUCCAGGACUGCAGUGAGAAGUGGCUGCUGCCAGUGAGGGAGGGAGGAAAGAGCACCACAGAAGCAGUUAGGGAGUUCCCAUUGUGGCACAGCGGUAAGGAACCUGACAAGUAUCCAUGAGCACAAGGGUUUGAUCCCUGACCUCGCUCAUGGGUUAAGGAUCUGGCAUUUCUGUGAGCUGUGGUGUAGGUCACAGAUGCGGUUCAGAUCUGGCAUGGCUGUGGCUGUGGCUUAGGCUGGCAGCUGUAGCUCUGAUUCAACUCUUAGCCUGGGAACCUCCAUAUGCCACA